rnacentral:rRNA from 1 species
UUAUCGGGAUAUUUAGCCUUAAAUGUAGACGUCUUUCAUUCUGAAGAUGGGCAUUCAGGCUUGUGUGGUGCGAUCAUAAGGGACAUCGGAUGCAUGUUUGUGGCAGCAUGCAUAUCAAAACUCGAACAUGCUGCAGAUAUUGUCACUGAAUAGGCUAACCUAGUUAAAGGACUGAAACUAGCUCAAUCUAUUGGGUGCAAUUUUAUUUCUGUGCAGAUGGACAAUCUAGUGGUGGUUGAAGCUAUCAAACAUAAUACUGGACAUACCAUGAUUGCAGCACCGAUACUUGAUGAAUGCAGAAGCUUGUUGGAGGACUUCAGACAGGUAUCUAUUAAGCAUUGUAAUAGAGAAUCAAAUUCUAUAGCUCAUGCCACUGGUGCGCGUCGGUCCUAA